GAAUACUGACUCUAAUGGAAAGGGUGGGGAAGGAGGGAUACUGGAAAAUAGUGGAAAGCAAAGAAGGAUGAAAAAGUGGUUUUUUUUUUUAAUAGUAAAAAUAAAGAGACAGGGUAUCUUUUUCUGAUCUACAGAACUACCUGGGCUGAUAUUCAUGAUAGUGUUAAGGAGAUGGGGGCCCAGGCCUGGCUAGGAGCCAGGGCACAGUCCCAGGCAGAGUGGGCCCCAUGUCGGAGUGUGGGAUCAUCUGUUUUCUGGGAAUAGACAUUCUGUCACCUGGAACGCUGGAAUUCAGAUUGCUCUUUCCUUUGGAAAGGUGUGACACUUGGGAAGCGAAGGAGUGUGUUUUCAUGGGGUGCUGCUGCUCUCUUGUUUACCUUCUGAGCCUCUCUGACUGUGCCCUCCCUCUGCAGGAUAAACAUCUCCAGCAGGGUGGGUGGAUCUUGUGAUAAAGCGGACCAGGUGGAUUCUUUUCAACUGUCUGUAAUCUGAUGCUAAAUGGGAUGCCUAACUCUGAGGCCAAAUUCAUACUCGAAUAUUGUGUAUUACAAGUGCAUCUCAGAUAUUUUUGUAGCCAGAGAUGGGUUGGACUGGAGUGUCAUGAGAUCACUCUUCUAAGAGUUCAUAUUUCUUAAUUCCCUGAGAGAACCAGAGAGGGGUCUCUCAGUAGGUUAUUAAAUGAUGGAUAGCAGACAGCUCACCCCUUCUCCUGUGAGCCAGUCCCACUUCUCUCCCCUUUCUUGCCCCAAAUCUACUGGAUGCCCCUGGCAUUAAUGAGUGCAGUAAGGAUAUCUGGGGUAUAUUCAUAGUAAACAUCUACAGUUUAUCUCAGAAACUUGCCAAUAUAGCUAACCCAGAUGCCAGCUCCUGGCCCCUAUAUCUCGUUUAUGAACAAUGUCGUUCUUACUCAAGUUUCUUGCCUGAGUUAGACUAAAAUCUGGUGUCUCAACUGUCAUAACAUGUGAGUAUUGUGUCAUUUUAGCUUGUCCACUCACUCUUUAAAGAAAACAAAUUCAUUCAUGUAUUUCAUUUGUGUACUCAUAAAAGAUUUGUUGAGCACAUGUUAUGUACCAGGCACAUGAUUGGGUUCACAGCAACGAGCAUUACAGGUAAUAAUACUUGCUCACAUUGAAGUCACAUUCUAGAAGGAAAGAUAAAACAAGAUAAGUAUCUAGUGUGCUAGAAAAUGUGUGCUAGGGAAAGAUUAAAGAUAAAGAGUGUUGGGGUAUAGCUUUAAAUAGGCUACUUGGGGAAAGACUCACUGAGGAGGUAACUUCUUUCAGGCUUUAUAAAAACGGUAUUGUAAUUUAUCUGCUGUAAAAUUUACACAUUUGAAGUGCACAGGUCAAUGACUUCUGUUUUUGUUUUUUUGCCAGGGAUUGAACUCAGGGGCGCUUAACCACUAAGCCACAUCCUCAGCCCUUUUUAUUUUUAUUUUGAGACAGGGUCUCACUAAGUUGCUUAGUUACUGAGGCUGAUUUUGAACUUUUGAUCCUUCUGCCUCUACCUCCCAAAUCCCCGAUAUUACAGGCAUGCGCCCCACACCUGGCUGAUGGAUGACUUUUGACCUAUGUAUGCAUUCACUACUCUGAUCAAUCUAUAGAAAAUGUCNAAGCACAUCAUGGACAGCAGACUUAGAGUGGUCCUCUUAAAUAACAAUAUGAAGAAAAUGAGAAAUAUCUGUAGAAAGAGUUUCAAACAGGGGGAAGAUCAGUGGAAAGAGGCAGGAGGCAGAAGCAUGUCCAACUUGUCAGAAGAACAUGGCUGAAGGUCAGUGAGGAAAGGACGGAGGGGAGGAUGAAGGUCAGAGAGGUGUGGAGCUGGGAGGAGAUACUGCUCAGCUGUGUGGGUUAUGGGAAGAACUCCAACUUUUACUGUAGUGAGAUGAGAACCCACCAGAAAGUUUUGGUCCAGGAACUGAUUUGGGUUUUAAUGGGAUUCCACUGCUAUUGAAACAGAUCCCCAGUUAUAGGCUGUUGACAUCAUCUACCUUGAAAAUUAAUUAAACUUCAAUGUUGAUGACUGGGUUUUUAUCAAUUUUCGAGUUUAGAGCUCAUUAAGAGAGAGAUACCUUGGUGUAAGAACCUGUUCAUCUGAAGCUAGGUUCAUUUUGUGUCUUUAUUUCUAUGAAAUGGAUAUGAUAACAAUGCCUCUCAUAAAAAUAUUGUGUCAAUUACAAGACAAUUCAUGUAAAAUUCUCUAGCUGGUGCCUGAUAGGUACGUAGUAAACACUCUGUGAUUAACUAUCUGAGAAUCUGAAUGUCUGAUGAUUGUUUCUUUAACCUAUAGACAUGGACUGAUCUUCUACUCUGUGAAUGAGGGCUCCAGACACCCCGUUAUUGUUCCCAAGGUGUAUAUGCAGCUUUGUAAAGGAAGCUGGCACCGAAACAAUAUCUUAAAAUAACACCAAAGGAAACAGGAGCUAAGUCGAGGGACACUUUGCCAGCUCUUGAAGGAAAGAUAUUCAUGCAGUCAGGGAAGAUCGUUGAAGACUAUUGAGAGGAAAUUGGAGUUUGAAGGAUGAAUAAGACACAGCCCUCUGAAAAGGAAAGGAGGUUUAUAUCAUGCACAUGUGCUUCCCGGCCUACCUGAAAGCUACUGACCUACUACAAAUGAUGUUCCACAGGAAUAUGGCUUCUGAAGAUGCCCUGAACAUAUGGCAGGGCUAAUAUUUAAAGAACUUCUUAGAUUCAAAGCAAAAAAUUGUGAAUCAGACAUGUUCAUUAUCUCUGUAAGCUCACAUUCAGAAUGAACUAUAUGAACCAGGUAGGAUAAAAUUCUGUUACAGCUGAAUGGAUUUAUGAGCUUGUUUUUGAAAAUGAGAUGAUGAAUGUAAGUACAAUCUUUUUUCACAAAAAGCAUUUCCCAGUUGUCCCUGUGAGAACUUAAUAAAGGUAACUGUAAGAAGGAAGAACUCAGUUGGUCUUAAAAUCCAGUGCCAUAGCAUUUAGGAAGUGAACUCUGACGCAUGGCCACAGAAAGGGAAUGGAUAUCUACUGCAAGUGUUUGAUUGACAUGUGUCCUCUCACAUCCAACAUGUGUCCUCUCCCAGGUCCAAUCUGUGUCUAAUUGAUCAUUUCUAGCAUAGCUCAUUAGAGGAGAAAAACUUGGUAAGAUAUAACCCAGUGAGCCAGAAUGGGUUGAUCUCAUGCCAAACUUAGACUGUUCUGCUUUAGAUAAGUCUACAAAAAAAAAAAAAAAAGAGGAAUGCCAACUUUUCACCAAGUUUAAAACAUGUCUAACAACAUUAGGUGACAAAGAAAGUAUCCAUCUAAGGAGAUAAAGAGCAGCAGACAGGCUCAGUCCCACCCAGGCUGUGAAGGGAUUACUCUGGGAAUGUUUUGGGCCUGUUAUGAUUGAGGAAGUUGGCUGAGAAUUUAUUAAAAUUGGGCAGAAAAAAAUACAUCCAUUAAUGAAAUACCAUGAAGUCCUCAAAAUGAAUGAGGCAGGUUUGUACAUUCUAAUAGGAAAUCGGCUCCAACAUCCUUAGUGAAGGGAGAAAAGUCACGGGAGAACCACACUUGCAGAAUACGACCAUUUAUAUAAAGAAGGAAAUGUACGUAUGUGCAUGGAUAAAGUAGGCUGCCUCUGGGGAGGGAAUCUGGGUAGCUGGCAGAGGACUUACUUCUCAGUCUAGCACCAGACAGUGUGAUCCUCUCUCCUCAAUGCAGAUUAUCAUCAGCACACUGUAGCUCCUGUCAGCCAUGAGGUCACUAGGGGACACAAUUAAAACCAUCAUGUGGCUGUAUGUCCUAGAAUUUUAGCUAUGUGGACUGUUUCUGUUUAGUUAUCUUUGAUCUGUUUAUGAAUGUCCAUCCUUGGAUUUGAUGUUGAGGUCUCUGGUCUGUUUGUGCAGGUAUUUAUCAGGAUGGGCGAAGGGCAGAGGGGAUCCUGGGACAUAUCAUGUUCAGAGCAGAGCCCAAACAGACUUCUGGUUACUAGGGAUAGAGACAGGAAAAAAAGACUCUUCAUUCCACUCUGGGAAUAAAACAUUGUCAAUAGUAAGAAUGCAUCUUAUUAAGUUCGUUUCAAAGUCAUAUACAUGUGCAUAGGUGGUAAUUUGUUCAAACUGUUCUGCAACCAGAUUUGCCUACUUUAUAUACCAUAUUUUCCUAGUCCAUAAAAUAAUUUGGUAAAAAUUGAUUUUUAGCUCUUCUCUCUAUAACUUUUUCCCUUGUUUUGGGGAAGAACUGGAGGAUCCAUACUAUGAAAAUACAUGGCAAAAGGAUAGGUGGAGAUUUAUUUAUAUAUAUAUAUAUAUAUGUUUAUUUAUAAAAAUAUAUUAUAUAUAUAUAUAUAUAUAUAUAUAUAUAUAUUAUAUAUAUAAAAUGAACCCCAACAAUGGGGACAGUAAUCACAUUCGGAGCAUGCAGACACAGCCCCAUGUUCAGAAACUGCCAAAACAUUCAUUAAAGUAGAUAAAAUGGCCUGCGAUGAAAUCCUCAAAGGAUGUGGUAGAUAAAGCAAAUGCUCUCUUAAACACAGCUGCAGGCUGCUAAAAUCCCCAGCCGCGCUUGAUGAGCAAUCCCAGCGAGAAGCAAGUAGAGACAGCCUGCCCUGCCAGGAGGGAACACUCUCCCAGCUGUGAGGCCCCCGCUGCAGCCUCUGCACCUGCCACUCACCUAAUGUCUCCCCCACAUCCUGGGAGGGCCUGUCGGUCCUUUCCCCAGAUCUUUCCACAGCAAUGGGAGGAAACAGAAAAGUGAUGUUUUCCAAGACAGGCAUCAACACCUGUGAGGCACAUUAAGUCCAUCUGAUGAAUAAGAAAGCUUAUUCAUUUCUAAAAAAUCUAAGGGCAGUGUUGGGGAGGUGUUGGAAAAUAAACUGACUAAUUAAUCAGGACCUUCGUGUUGGGUUCGGUUUGGUUUCCAUUGGCUAAUGAAGCUCUCCUACGCCCUGAGCUUCUUCAGAAAAGGUUUCUGGUGGAAAUACAAAUCUUGUCUUGUGACUGAUUGGGAACUAAAGACUGUCCCACCUUUCAUCACCUGCCAUAUGCUUCAGUCACUUUCUUCUGUUUGUUUAUGGACCAAGCUUCUGAACAACAACAACAACAACAGAUCUCAGAGGAAAAGCCCUUCCUUCCUCCUCUCCUCCCUCCUUCUCUCCCUCUCUUCCUUUUUCUAAAGUGUAUGAACCACUUCUGAACUUACCUUUUCUUUUCAUUUGUCUUAAAACCAUAGGGUUUAGAAUCAUUGUCCCUCCAUAUCUCUGGAGGCCCCUCGUGGAUACCCAAAACCUGGGAUGCCCAAGUUCCUUAUGUAAAAUGGUACUGUAUUUACAUCUGAUGCAUGAACACCCCCAUACACUCUAAAUCAUCUCUAGAUUACUUAUAAUACCCAAUACAAUGUAAAUGCUAUGUAAAUAGGCAUUACACUGUAUUAUUUAAGGAAUAAC
rnacentral:lncRNA from 1 species